CUCAUUAACUCAAUUGGUUAGAGUGUUGUGUUAAUAACCUGAAAGUCACAGGUUCGAUUAUGAUCCAUAUGAGAUGAUCCGUAUGAGACCCA
rnacentral:tRNA from 1 species